rnacentral:rRNA from 1 species
GAUGAACGCUGGCGGCGCGCCUAACACAUGCAAGUCGAACGAUUAAACCGCCCUUGGGCGGAUAUACAGUGGCGAACGGGUGAGUAACGCGUGACCAACCCUCCCCCCGCAUCGGGACAACCCGGGGAAACCCGGGCUAAUACCGGAUAUGCCGGGUAUGGCGCAUGUCAUACCCAGGAAAGCUUUUGCGGCGGGGGAUGGGGUCGCGUCCCAUCAGGUAGACGGCGGGGUAGUAGCCCACCGUGCCAACGACGGGUAGCCGGGUUGAGAGACCGACCGGCCACAUUGGGACUGAGAUACGGCCCAGACUCCUACGGGAGGCAGCAGUGGGGAAUCUUGCGCAAUGGGGGAAACCCUGACGCAGCGACGCCGCGUGCGGGAUGGAGGCCUUCGGGCCGUGAACCGCUUUCAGCAGGGAAGACAUUAAGGAC